AAAUUGAAGAGUUUGAUCAUGGCUCAGAUUGAACGCUGGCGGCAGGCCUAACACAUGCAAGUCGAGCGGAAACGAGUUAUCUGAACCUUCGGGGAACGGUAACGGCGUCGAGCGGCGGACGGGUGAGUAAUGCCUAGGAAAUUGCCUUGAUGUGGGGGAUAACCAUUGGAAACGAUGGCUAAUACCGCAUAACGCCUACGGGCCAAAGAGGGGGACCUUCGGGCCUCUCGCGUCAAGAUAUGCCUAGGUGGGAUUAGCUAGUUGGUGAGGUAAUGGCUCACCAAGGCGACGAUCCCUAGCUGGUCUGAGAGGAUGAUCAGCCACACUGGAACUGAGACACGGUCCAGACUCCUACGGGAGGCAGCAGUGGGGAAUAUUGCACAAUGGGCGAAAGCCUGAUGCAGCCAUGCCGCGUGUAUGAAGAAGGCCUUCGGGUUGUAAAGUACUUUCAGUUGUGAGGAAGGGGGUGUCGUUAAUAGCGGCAUCUCUUGACGUUAGCAACAGAAGAAGCACCGGCUAACUCCGUGCCAGCAGCCGCGGUAAUACGGAGGGUGCGAGCGUUAAUCGGAAUUACUGGGCGUAAAGCGCAUGCAGGUGGUUCAU
rnacentral:rRNA from 1 species